CACACCAGCCAGGGCAAACCCUUAGUUUUUAGCUAAUGUCAUUUUUCUGUUCCAAGAUCCCAUUUGGAAAAGAAAUUACAUUUAGUCACAACUUUUUGAGUACUGGAAUUCAUGUACAUUAUCUAAGGUAUGUUCUUUAUCAAAGAUGUGGUCUAAUGAACACAAAAUCUAGCUCAUCAAUUUAGCUAAUUCUGAAUGUAACUGGAAGUCAAGGCAGAAUUGGGUUUUUCUAUUCUGGGUCUGUGUGACCUCGUCCUUACCUCAUUAAGUGCUGCGUACAGAGAAGUUCUCGGAGGCCAGAUUUCUGAAAAAAGUAGUGUUAAGUGGUAAGUAUAGGUGUGAAUUUGUCUUCAUGAAACGUCCAAACUCAAGAAGGAACAGCUGGUUUCCUGCCCAGAUUUCAAGUUGAGCAUGUAAGGAGACGAGUGACCUGCAGGUGACUCCAGAGACAAAACGAGAAAUGAGCAGUGGAUAAAAACAAGAGGCCCUCUGUAUCUCCUGGUAUAACAAGGCCCUUUGUCCUCAGGAAAACAAGGUUUGACCUGCCCUUUCAGAUUCUGACGUGUGCUUGGUUCUGCCCGUUGUAUCUGUGGUGGUAUUAGGACUUCCUUUUCCAUAGAGCCAGAAACUGUGGUUUGGCAACAUCCCAGCCCAGGCAGGACAGGGUGGGAGGAGGGGUUUGGAGGCAUCUUUGGGAAAUCCUGUAGCCAGGCCCUGCAAGGAAAUAACAAGCUGAUAUUGAGUAUAGUGGUUUUAAGAGGUCAUGUGUGAGACUGGGAAGGAGAGGGGCCUUGAGGGGUGUGAGCCAGUUUCUAUCCAGGAGUGAGUGAUCUAGCCUUUUACAGCUGUGGCUCGAGGGCACCGAGACAUUUAGAGCAAUGGGAAAGUGUUAUUCCUCUUCCAUGGUUUUAAACUUUAACAGGACACCUGUCUUUAAAAGUUGUAAUUAGAAUAGUGCUGGUUGUAUGAGUUGAGGCCACGGAUAUUCAAAACGUAUAAUGCAGAAAUCCAAAGAUCUCAGAAGGAUUCAUUCUAUAGUUCCUUAAACAAGGUUCCUUAAACAUUUCUUUUAAGA